UACGAAGGGGGCUAGCGUUGUUCGGAUUUACUGGGCGUAAAGCGCGUGUAGGCGGGUCGUAAGUUGGGGGUGAAAUCCCGAGGCUCAACCUCGGAACUGCCUUCAAAACUGGCGACCUGGAGCAAAGAAGAGGCGAGUGGAAUUGCGAGUGUAGAGGUGAAAUUCGUAGAUAUUCGCAGGAACACCAGUGGCGAAGGCGACUCGCUGGUCUUUUGCUGACGCUGAGACGCGAAAGCGUGGGGAGCAAACAGGG
rnacentral:rRNA from 1 species